rnacentral:rRNA from 1 species
GACGAAUGCUGGCGGCGUGCUUAACACAUGCAAGUCGAGCGAGGCCCCUCCUUCGGGAGGGUGUCCUAGCGGCGAACGGGUGAGUAACACGUGGGCAACCUGCCCUCAGCUCUGGGAUAACUCCGGGAAACCGGGGCUAAUACCGGAUACGACCUCCACGGGCAUCUGCGGAGGUGGAAAGUUUUUCGGCUGAGGAUGGGCCCGCGGCCUAUCAGCUAGUUGGUGGGGUAGUGGCCCACCAAGGCGACGCCGGGUAGCCGGCCUGAGAGGGCGACCGGCCACACUGGGACUGAGACACGGCCCAGACUCCUACGGGAGGCAGCAGUGGGGAAUAUUGCGCAAUGGGCGAAAGCCUGACGCAGCGACGCCGCGUGAGGGACGAAGGCCUUCGGGUUGUAAACCUCUUUCAGCAGGGACGAAGCGAAAGUGACGGUACCUGCAGAAGAAGCACCGGCCAACUACGUG